rnacentral:rRNA from 1 species
UACGUAGGCAGCAAGCGUUGUUCGGAGUUACUGGGCGUAAAGAGCGCGCAGGCGGUCGUUCAAGUCGCGUGUGAAAGCCCCCGGCUCAACUGGGGAGGGUCACGCGAUACUGAUCGACUCGAAGGCAGGAGAGGGUAGUGGAAUUCCCGGUGUAGUGGUGAAAUGCGUAGAUAUCGGGAGGAACACCAGUGGCGAAGGCGACUACCUGGCCUGUUCUUGACGCUGAGGCGCGAAAGCUAGGGGAGCGAACGGG